AAAGAAAAUUUUAUUUGUUAUGUAUUAUUUGAAAGUAUUUUUAAAUAAAAUAUUAUUAAUUUAUUUUUAUUUAAGUAUAUUAAAGAAAAAAUUAAAUAUAAUUAAAGUUUAUUAGUAAUGAGAAUGAAUUAAUUUAAUUAAUUUAAAGAAUUUUUUAUUUAAAGUACCUUUUGUAUCAGGGUUUAUUUAAUUAAUAAUUAUAAUUUUAAUUAAUUUCGAAUUUAAAAGAUUUAAUUUUUUAUUUUUUAUAUUGUAGAAUAAAUAUUUAUAAUAAUAAAUUAGUAAUGAAAUGUUAUUCGUUUUUAAAGAUAUCUAGUUUUUUUAGAAAAAAAUUUAAUUUUAUUAUAAAUUAUUAUUUAAAUUUAAAUUAAAAUUUAAAUAUUUAUUUAUAAAAAAAUUUUUAGGGAUAAGCUUAAAGAUUAAGUUAUAUUUUGGUUAUAAGAAUAAUUAAAUUUAUGAUUAGAAAUUUCAAUAAUAUUAAUAAUUUUAUAAUUUAUAUAUGAAAAUUUUAAUUUUUAUGAAAUUAAUUUAUUUAUAGAAAUAUUUAAUAAAAUUAUUUAUUAAAGUAAUAAUGAUAAAAUUAGUAUAUUUAUUUGAAUAAUUAAAUUUUAAAAAAUUUUUAAAUUAAUAAUAAGGAAUUCGGCAAAAUAAUUGUUCGCCUGUUUAUCAAAAACAUGGUUUUUUGUUUUAUAAUUUAAAAUUUAAUCUGCCCACUGAUUUAAUUAAAGGGCCGCAGUACAUUGACUGUGCAAAGGUAGCAUAAUCAUUUGUUUCUUAAUUGUUGACUUGUAUGAAUGAUUGGACGGGAUAAUUACUGUCUCAUUUUUAUUUAUAUUAAAAUUUUAUUUUUAAGUUAAAAAGCUUAAAUGAAUUUUAAGGACGAGAAGACCCUAUAGAGUUUAAUUAAUUUAAUAAAAAAUUUUAUUUUUGAAUUUAAAUUUUUUUUAUAAAAAUUAAUUUAAUUGGGGUGAUUAAAAAAUUUAUAUAACUUUUUAUAAAAUUAGUCAAAAAAUUUUGUUUAUUUUUGAUCCAGAAGUUUUGAUUACUUGAUUAAAUUACCUUAGGGAUAACAGCGUUAUUAUUUUGGAAAGUUCAUAUUUAUAAAAUAGUUUGCGACCUCGAUGUUGAAUUAAGAUAAAUUUUUGGUGCAGUAAUUAAAAUUUUUAGUCUGUUCGACUAUUAAAUUCUUACAUGAUUUGAGUUCAAACCGGUGUAAGCCAGGUUGGUUUCUAUCCUAAAUAAUAUAAAAUAUUUUAGUACGAAAGGACCAUAUAUUUAAUUAAAAAUUUAUUUUAAG
rnacentral:rRNA from 1 species